AGAUAAUAGAUACCCGGGUAGUCCACGCCCUAAACGAUGUCUACUAGUUGUCGGGUCUUAAUUGACUUGGUAAACGCAGCUAAACGCGUGAAGUAGACCGCCUGGGGAGUACGGUCGCAAGAUUAAAACUCAAAGGAAUUGACGGGGACCCGCACAAGCGGUGGAUGAUGUGGAUUAAUUCGAUGCAACGCGAAAAACCUUAACCUACCCUUGACAUGUCAGGAACCUCCGAGAGAUUGGAGGGUGCCCGAAAGGGAGCCUGAACACAGGUGCUGCAUGGCUGUCGUCAGCUCGUGUCGUGAGAUGUUGGGUUAAGUCCCGCAACGAGCGCAACCCUUGUCAUUAGUUGCUACGAAAGGGCACUCUAAUGAGACUGCCGGUGACAAACCGGAGGAAGGUGGGGAUGACGUCAAGUCCUCAUGGCCCUUAUGGGUAGGGCUUCACACGUCAUACAAUGGUACAUACAGAGGGCCGCCAACCCGCGAGGGGGAGCUAAUCCCAGAAAGUGUAUCGUAGUCCGGAUCGCAGUCUGCAACUCGACUGC
rnacentral:rRNA from 1 species